GACGAACGCUGGCGGCGUGCUUAACACAUGCAAGUCGAGCGGUAAGGCCCUUUCGGGGGUACACGAGCGGCGAACGGGUGAGUAACACGUGGGUGACCUGCCUCUAGCUCUGGGAUAAGCCCGGGAAACUGGGUCUAAUACUGGAUAUGACUCCAUGACGCAUGUUGUGGGGUGGAAAGCCUUGUGCGGCUAGAGAUGGGCCCGCGGCCUAUCAGCUUGUUGGG
rnacentral:rRNA from 1 species